UCUCGUUUUCCUCUCCCCACUUCUAAAACAAUUUUCAAAAAGAUUCGCCUUUUCUUUGCCCCUCUUCCGUUCGUCUUUUCAUUUGCCUUGAUGACUUAUUUGCUUAUUUGCUCGUCUGUUUGGAAUAAUUGUGUAUUUAUUGCAAAACAUAGAACCUAAGAUUUAUGGAUCCUCAUCCGCUUGCCAAUCUUUUUAAGAGAUCCAAUUAUCAUGAACCAAUUGCUAGUGAGUUUUGUGCACUAGACUAUCUUUAUGAAGUUUUGCUUGAAAUUCGUGAAUCUGAAAAUUGUGAUGAAGUACUUUAUGAAGUGAUUCACGAUAGAUCUUUGCAUAAAAAGAAUGAUUGCAAUGAUGUCACUAUAAAUUGUAUUAAUGUCAAUUGUGCUAAUAAUAUGCAAAACCCUAAGCUUGGGGAUGCUAGUUUUGCUAUGUCCACUACUUGUUGCAAUGAUCAUGAUUGGGGUGAUUCUUCUUAUGAUCUUGGAAAUGAAAUUAUUCCCCAUGAUGAAUAUGAGAUUGAUAAUAAUGAAAUAAUAUUAAAAUUGGGUUUGGAAGAGUGUCAACUUUAGAUCCCACAUAUUUGGAGUAUGUUCAAAUUUUAUGAAGUUUUCGAUAAAAGUGGGUUCAGAGAGGUCGUGACUUUAUUUUAUGAUAAUCCCACUAUUUUGGAAGAGUGUCAACUUUGCAGGCAUGUGGAUCAUGUUGAGAAUAUGCUAUGUGAUAGCUAUAUUGUUGAAUUUUCUUAUGAUCCGACAUGUAAUUAUUAUGAGAGAAGAAAAUAAGGUUGUAGAAAUUUUCAUGUUACUAAAUUACCUCUCUUCAUGUUGAAAUUGCUAUCGUCUCUUUCUUGUUCCUUGCAUAUACUAGGUUUUUCUUGCCUUGAUAAUUUGUUUUCUUACAAGUUUUAUGAUGCUCCCUUUGUGUUUAAAUUAUUAUCUUUCAUAUGAGCAUCAUUUGAAAUCUCAAUGCCUAGCUAAAAAGGAUUUAAAGAAAAGCGCUUGUUGGGAGACAACCUGUCAUGGAAUUGUCAUGGCAGAUGUCCUAGUGAAAGGACUUACUCGUGGAGCCAUCGCAACUAGGAAGCUUAAAGGGGUUAGUCGGGACAAAGGACACGAGAGGUUUAUACUGGUUUGGCCCCUUGCGGUGAAGGUAAAGCCUAGUCUAGUUGAUGAGGUAUUGCUAGGUUUCAUUGAGCAAGGAGCGAAUCCGCUAGCUUGGCUCUCGAUCUGUUGUUUCUUACCCUAAGCCACCGCCGGGUCGUCCCCUAUAUACACGGAUUGACGCCCUGCGGCCUACAGAGUGUCCUGCGGCCGGCUCAUACAAUGUGUCCGGCUCGGUGACAUCUCUUACAUGCCUUACUUUACAAGACUUAUUCAUACAUGGCGGUUUAUACUUAUGGGACUUAAGCCGCCUCUGGGCUUGGGCCUAUUAUAAGCCUUAUCAUAAACCGUCACCUUGUACACUCUUUGGGCUUCACUUAAGUAACCCGCCAUUGUGGUAGACCCGGCCCCUCCUGGGCGAGUCAUAUCUGGUAGUCAUAUCCCCAACAUUAGGCACCGAGUUGAUUUGAACUUUGUUCAUGUCAAUCUUCAACACUUAGAAGAAAUCCAUCUUCCACUGCUUGUAAAAGCUUUAUAAACCGCCAUGACGUCACCUUCAGAAAAUUUGGGAACCCGCCACGAUGUCAUCUUAACGGAUCCUUAUCUUAAAUGCUUUCCGGAAAUUGAGGCGUCUAAUUAGCUGGAUAAUCAUCAUUUUAGCCUUCCUCGUUUUUCGCUCCUGCCUGUUCACCCAUCUCCUUAUAAAUAGGCACGACUGGUCUUCCUCAUUAUUCUUCUUCCUUCUCUCGCCAUCCCUCUGUCGCUCGAGCUCCGCCACUACUGCAGCGCUCACCGUCGUCCUCGACCUUGGCCGCUGCAUCAACCUAAGCUUGUCCCAAGAACGGCGGCAACCCUCCGUAGUAAAACUGCAUCCGUAAGUUCUUACCCUUCCGCACCUUACAUCCGCAUUAGGGUUUGCAAGUUCUUCUAUGUUCUUCGCCGUUCAUCACAGAUUCUUCGUAGUUUCUCCACCGCAUCCUCUUUUGAUCUAAAAUAAGUAUAGAACUAAUGCGGUAGGUGUUUCGCAUCCAUUUGAGAUGCUAGUAGGUCCCCUUUUCUUACAUAAAAGCCUCCUUAGGACUGAUGAACUGCUGUGCACUGUUUUUUAGGUCUACAUUUAUUUUCCUUUUUUGAACAGCCUUGAUCCAAAAUAAUAGCAACAGCCUGUGAAACAUGUUCAUCUCAGUACUUAGCCAAUUUUUUGUCGCUGGCUACCUUUGAAUACCUUUAGUCAUGGCAGCUUAUCCUGCCGGCUCAUUUUUUCUUCAUGUAUCAUUAGCCCUUACAUAAGUUGCCAUUACGCAUCUGUAUUGCAGAGAUUAACCUGUGAUUCCACCAUUUAACUUAAAUCGACAAAUGACUUCCUUUUUAGCUUGUCCUCUCACCUUGCCGCCAAAGACGGCGACAAUUUGCACCUGGGUCCCUUCCACCGUUACUGACGCCACUCUGAAGGACUUUGUUAACAUUGGGUUUUUACCGGAGAAGAGCACUAUGUCUUAUCGCGCCCCUGACCCGGCCGAAGAAAAACCUCAACCUAAGGAUGGUGAAGUCAUCGUCUUUACUGAUCAUAUGAACCGGGGGUUUUCACCGCCCGGCUUAAAAUUAUUCAGAGAUGUUCUGCACUUUUUCAAGCUCCAUCCCCAAGAUCUUGGACCCAAUUCCAUAUCAAAUAUCUAUAAUUUCUAGGUUCUCUGUGAGGUUUAUCUUCAAGAAGAACCUACUUUUGAACUCUUCAGACUGUAUUUCUAUUUGAACCGCCAGAAUGAAUACACCAAUGGCCCCAGCUUGGGACAUGCUGGAAUUUCGAUUCAGCGUAGACAGGGUGCUGUCUUUCCCUUGGUAGUCUUACCAAGCCAUCCCAAGGAUUGGAACCAAACAUGGUUUUGCAAAUACACGUCGCCAGCUGACGAAAAACCAAUGCCGGGUUAUCGCGCGGAGCGCCUUGAUGCUAAGUUUUCACUCCCUGACAAGCUUACUGCCGCUGAACAUAAGAAGCUCAUCCCAACCACCAAAAGGGUGCAAGCCUUGCUGGGAAACAGCUUAACUAGUGUUGACUUGAUCCUCUGUUGGAUCACAUGGUGGAUCAUCCCUCUGAGCCACCGGUAUGACUUAAUGUAUAAUUACACCGGAGGAGCAGACGAUCCAUUGCAUUAUAGAUCUCUACGUCUGACUGAAGAAGCCAUCGUCGAAAUGUCAACUACCCUUCUAAACAACAAAUAGGAAUACUGCAGUAAAGUAGGAUUAAACCCAUUCUGCAAACUUAACCCGGCACCAGAGGUAAAUCCCCUUGAUUCCUUUUUUUCUUUAAUAGUUAAGCGCUUGCAUGAUGUUUCAACCUGUUAUUUGCCUACAGGCAAAAUCUGACUUUUGGAAGGCCAAAUAUGAUCAUAAAGCUGCUAAGAAGGCUAGAGCCGCCGCCAUGGCCGCGAAGAAGACAACCCGAAAAUCUAAGAAGAAACAAACUGCUUCUGAUAUGUUCAAGUUGGCUGAUGUUACUGAGUCGGAGGAUGACACGGGGUCUAGCUAUGCAGUAGAGGAAGAGGUAACUAUUUCCUCCAACUCAGAACCUUUGCCAAGACAGAAACCUCAACUGGUAACCCGGAAAGUAAGGUUUUCACACCCUUUAGCUUAUUUGGAUCCUCAUUUUCUUUUGAAAAAAUAGCAACACGAGAACCACCGUCACACCCGGACCAGUGAUGACAAUGAACUGCCCUCCGGCUAACCAAAAACUCCUUGGAAACGCCAGAAUGAGGAGGUCUCUCGAUCUUUUGGUUAUUCCUGUCAAACUCAAUUUACGGCUUUCAAGACUGCCCCUGGUGGUCAAGCAAAACCCAAGAAAGCCAAGGUGAUCAAACCGACUGAAAACCUGGAAACCGCUGAACCGGCACUGCCAACUCCUACCCCAGGACAACCUGAAGCACCAGAAGACCCUGCUGUCCAUGUUCAAAUAGAUCCUCCUGAGCCGUCUGUUGAUGAAACUAUUCUCAACCCAUCCACUGUUGAACCGUCAAGCUCAACUAACCUGCCGACGACUUAUAAAAGUGAUGUUUUCAUCACUGGUAGUAGAUUUGUUGAAACGGGAAAUCCGACGGUACUGGCCAGACACUCGGCCAAGCAAGAGGGUUUGGAAAAGUAGAAAGUUCGCUUCGACAUCUCUCACUAUGCUCACCUGAGCACUAGUGAUGUGCUAUCUGGCUAUCUUAGUCACGUGCAUUCUAGCUGUGACUCUGAAAUUGAGAUGGUGAAACAGCUGCAAUUGAAAUAUGAGACCGCCAUAACUAAAUUGGAUUCUGAACUGACGGAUGCCAAAACCCGGUUGGCGGCUCAAGAGACUGAGAUAAAGAAUACUGACUCCAAACUCCAGUUGAGCCUAUCUGAAGUAGAGAAACUGAAGAGCAGUUUUGAUGUAGAGAAAAAAAUCCUGGGCCGAUGAAAAAACCUUGCUGAUACAGCAUGCUGAGACAGCCGAGGCAUCUCUCAAGGAGGUUACCGCGGAACUCACCGGUUUAAAGAACCGUGUGUCUCAGAUGGUCUCUGCAAUCUUCAGUCCACGGAGCAGCAAUCUGAGCCAAAAUAGCUUGAUAAAGCUCAAGGCGGUUUACACCCUGGUGGAGCAACUGUACACUGGAGCUCAACCGGCGCUUGCCAUUAUCUCCCCAGCCAACCAAGGACCAAACCUCUUGAGUGAUGUCUUGAAGAAGUUAUCUAUCUUACCUGCCAGAUUCCAAGAGGUCAAGCGGUCUUGUGCAAGAGCGGGAGCCCUAACUACUCUAAGCCGCUCCAAAGCCUGGGUGCCGGAGCUAGACCCGGCAGAUGUAGCCAAGGGGUAUCCCAGCCUUAAGGAAGACGGGACCCCGUUUGAUCAAGAUGAUUUUUCUGCUUGUGUGAGGGGAAAUCGUCCUCAUGCUACUAUCCUUGGCGAUGAGACCAAUAUAGAUAAGUAUCAGCCGAGUUUUAAUGUUGAGAAUAAAAAGAUGGUGACUCCUUCGUA